UACCCUACGGGGCGCAGCAGUGAGGAAUAUUGGUCAAUGGCCGAGAGGCUGAACCGGCCAAGUCGCGUGAGGGAAGACGGCCCUACGGGUUGUAAACCUCUUUUGUCGGGGAGCAAAGCGAGUCACGUGUGACUCAUUGAGAGUACCCGAAGAAAAAGCAUCGGCUAACUCCGUGCCAGCAGCCGCGGUAAUACGGAGGAUGCGAGCGUUAUCCGGAUUUAUUGGGUUUAAAGGGUGCGUAGGCGGAAUAUCAAGUCAGCGGUAAAAAUUCGGGGCUCAACCCCGUCGUGCCGUUGAA
rnacentral:rRNA from 1 species